UAUCCGGCGCGGCCGGUGCGGCGCGCUCGCUCCAGAGCUUGCCGCGUGUUUUAAACUGACUGCCGAGUUGACUGCUUGAUGACGUGACAUCGAGAUUUCAAAUAAUCUGUUAGACUGCGACACCGAGGCAACUAUGUGAAAGUGCAAAAAUAUCGCCAGGAAGGCAGAGGACACGUCAAACCUGGUAUCGGAAGAUGAUGCUGUGUAGAAGCGAAAGAGACGUCUUUCCCCCAGAGAUUUAGCAAAUCUUCUAGUGAUUCCGGAAGUGACGCUGAUCUUGAAUCAGUUCGGACCCAAGAAAACAACAUGUACACGGAGGAACGACUAAGGCUGUGGCAGCAGAGUUACCAAUGCCGAAACUGAAUGCGAAGUCCAAGUCCACAUCGCAUUUUUCAGUUCCAACCCACAACUCCAGCAAGGGCUCGGGCUUCGGAAAGCAAUUUUCAAGUGCAGGUACUGUGUACGCUGCAGAGGCUGGAGGAAGGGCAGCAGCAGCUGACGCAGUUGGUACAAAAACUGCUUUUGUCCAAAUCGGGAGCGGCCGUUGAUGUGGAAGACCUGAGGGAGCCGUUUACCGAACCAGUGAACACCAAAUUUUCAUUCAAGGUAGAUUAAGAUACCUUCAUUCAGGGGCAAUGCAAAAAUCCUAAAACUCAUAUUGAGACCAAAUUUGACCAUUUCAGCUAAUAAUGGAGAAACUUUAUCAGCGACAUAACAGUUUUGUUGGUGCAUCUUUUUGGAUUGAAUUGCCAACAUCUUGUUGAGAAUGCAAGACAAAGUUGUAUAGGUCUGUAAAUUUACUACUUUUUGUAAGGAUGCUGAAACCGAUGGCCCGAAUUCACAAAGGAGGUUUGAGCUCAAACCUUGGUUUUCGUACGUCAUAUGACGCGUUUUAUGCGUUUUUUACAAACCUGGUUUGUAAAGAACAAAAGGAGGUUUGGCGAAACAAAAGGAGGUUUGAGCUCAAACCUUGCUUUGUGAAUUCGGGCCAAUGUGUGUGCUGCCAAACUCUCUUAUAACCUUGUCUUCCAUAUUCAUAGACCCUUAAAUUUGAGUAUUCAUAUUUGCCUGUUAAUAAUUCAUAUCAACUAAUUUCUAUCAGUUUAUUGUAAAUAGCUUUUUGUAGAUUGUUCAUGUGUUUUGUGUUGAUUUUAUAUUUGAAGUAAGAUGCAAGGUCCAAUGCAAGGCUUCUGGGAAAUCUUGACCUGCCCACUAAAUCUUUGGUCGAUCAAAAGGACAAUUUUGUACUCGGAUUUAAAGGGGAAAUCUACCCUAGAAAUUUCACUGCUUCAAUCAAAGGAGACAAAUUUGAACAAAAUUAAAAAUAAGAAAUGGGCAAACUCGGUAAGGAAAACAAAGUAAGGAAACUACACUUUUUUUACAUUUUCUAGUAAAUUACUCUCGGCUAUUCAAAUUGACAAUGCUGAUGACAUCUUGAGUAGCUCUAAAUUCACUUUGUACACAAAAUUUCACAUUUUCUAACCCCCAUAGUCAAAGCAUGUUGUCUAGAAAGCUAUUCGUCAUUAGUAAUCUGAACAUACUCUGAUUAAAAGCUGUGGAAAUGUGUAACUUUAAGGAAAAUUUAGAAAAUAUGAAUGUACAAAGUUGAUGGAUAGCUACUCACAGUUGGUGUCAUCAUUGUUGCCAAUUUGUAGAGCUGAAAAGAGUGUAGUUCCCUUGUGUUUUUUUGCCGUACUUUCACUUGAAAUGUGACUUCUUAAAAUAGUCACAUUUUUAUCACUUGUAGAAGUUGAUGAGAAAGUAAAUACAUGUACUCUUUUGAAUAGUUAUAAUUUGCACCGGAUGAUGAAGCUAAUCCUGGGUGGAGGCACAUAGUUAAAUCGGUUAUUCACAUGUAUUUAAUGAUAAUUUGUGACAUUUUGUUAAAAGGUUCUGGUGAAUUUAUUCACAUUGAAUUUGAUAUAGUACACAAAAAAUUAAAUCCACUAUUUGGUUUUACCAAAGAUCAAGACUUAUUGUAGAAAGAUUUCUUAAUCAUUUGCUGGGGCAUCUUUUUGGCAUGAAUUGCCAGGUUCUGUAAAUAACUCAAAUUGCUUUUAUAAAGUGUGUUACCAAAGUUGCUAUAUGUGUACUGCCAAAUUAUUGACACUAUUCAAAGUAUUCAUUUUAUCUUGCCUUGUAUAUUCAUAGAGACAUAGACCCGUGAAUUAUAUGAGUAUUCAUAUUUGCCAGUUAAUGAGGCAUAUCUUCAACUCAUCUAUCAUUUUCUUAUGUUUUAUUUGUAGAUUGUUCAUGUGUUAUGUAUCUAUAGUUUUAAAGGGAUAGUUUAGUAUUGGUCAAACUUAACUUUAAAACCAAAACCUGCACCAUCACGGUGCAAAGUAAUAAUUACAAACGGCCAAGUAAAGCCCCUGUUAUUAUCAAAAUGACCUGUUACUUUCAGUUUCUGCAUUUAAUUUUUGUUAAAAUACUAAUUAAAUAUCUAUAUCCAUUGCUUUUUAAAGAACUAUUCAGAUUUUUUCUUCUUCAAAGUAGUCUUCAAGCAUUUUUAAUAUUUUGAAUAAAAAUAUAUUUAUGGAUAUUUCAGCCGUUUGUGAACCAAUAUUGAUCAAAAAACAAUUUAUUCUGAAUAUUAGAAUUGUAUGUUCUUUCGGGGGCACUUCGGGAAAUACCAAUACUCUUUUUCAAAUAUACAUGAUGUACUGUAUUGCCAAGCCUUUGUACAUAUUUUGUAAAUAUGUUUGAUAAUAAAUUCAUAAAAUCAAUCAAA
rnacentral:lncRNA from 1 species